GGGGAUGCAAUGGUUUCGACGGGGGGCGUGAACGUUGGCAAGCGAGCAGCGGCAUUACGGAACCGCUAUAAAAUCCGUAAAUUCUUAAAUAAUAAACGACAACGAUUAUACUGUUGCCCUUGCCGCUUAAUCUGGCAAGCGUUUGUAUCAAGAGUACCACGGCUUGAUGCAGGCGUCGACUUAGUGGUGAACGUGAACGGAAAAUUGUCUUGCUUUCCGUCAUGACUGAAAGACUACCGAAGCAUACAGCCUGUCUGUGGGCGGUAUGUGGGGGGAAUCUUAAAAUACAGACUGCGCUCGGAGAAAACUGACGGAAUCACCUUUCGGACAGGGGUUCGAUUCCCCUCAUCUCCA
rnacentral:tmRNA from 1 species